rnacentral:rRNA from 1 species
AUGAAGCGAACCGGGGGAACUGAAACAUCUAAGUACCCCGAGGAAAAGAAAUCAACCGAGAUUCCCCCAGUAGCGGCGAGCGAACGGGGAGCAGCCCAGAGUCUGAAUCAGCAUGUGUGGUAGUGGAACGGUCUGGAAAGUCCGACGGUACAGGGUGAUAGUCCCGUACACAAAAUCACACAUGUUGUGAACUCGAAGAGUAGGGCGGGACACGUGGUAUCCUGUCUGAAUAUGGGGGGACCAUCCUCCAAGGCUAAAUACUCCUGACUGACCGAUAGUGAACCAGUACCGUGAGGGAAAGGCGAAAAGAACCCCGGCGAGGGGAGUGAAAAAGAACCUGAAACCGUGUACGUACAAGCAGUGGGAGCCUCUUUAUGGGGUGACUGCGUACCUUUUGUAUAAUGGGUCAGCGACUUAUAUUCUGUAGCAAGGUUAACCGAAUAGGGGAGCCGAAGGGAAACCGAGUCUUAACUGGGCGUUAAGUUGCAGGGUAUAGACCCGAAACCCGGUGAUCUAGCCAUGGGCAGGUUGAAGGUUGGGUAACACUAACUGGAGGACCGAACCGACUAAUGUUGAAAAAUUAGCGGAUGACUUGUGGCUGGGGGUGAAAGGCCAAUCAAACCGGGAGAUAGCUGGUUCUCCCCGAAAGCUAUUUAGGUAGCGCCUCGUGAAUUCAUCUUCGGGGGUAGAGCACUGUUUCGGCUAGGGGGUCAUCCCGACUUACCAACCCGAUGCAAACUGCGAAUACCGAAGAAUGUUAUCACGGGAGACACACGGCGGGUGCUAACGUCCGUCGUGAAGAGGGAAACAACCCAGACCGCCAGCUAAGGUCCCAAAGUCAUGGUUAAGUGGGAAACGAUGUGGGAAGGCACAGACAGCCAGGAUGUUGGCUUAGAAGCAGCCAUCAUUUAAAGAAAGCGUAAUAGCUCACUGGUCGAGUCGGCCUGCGCGGAAGAUGUAACGGGGCUAAACCAUGCACCGAAGCUGCGGCAGCGACACUAUGUGUUGUUGGGUAGGGGAGCGUUCUGUAAGCC